rnacentral:rRNA from 1 species
AUUGAACGCUGGCGGCAGGCCUAACACAUGCCAGUCGAGCGGAUGAAGGGAGCUUGCUCCUGGAUUCAGCGGCGGACGGGUGAGUAAUGCCUAGGAAUCUGCCUGGUAGUGGGGGAUAACGUCCGGAAACGGGCGCUAAUACCGCAUACGUCCUGAGGGAGAAAGUGGGGGAUCUUCGGACCUCACGCUAUCAGAUGAGCCUAGGUCGGAUUAGCUAGUUGGUGGGGUAAAGGCCUACCAAGGCGACGAUCCGUAACUGGUCGGAGAGGAUGAUCAGUCACACUGGAACUGAGACACGGACCAGACUCCUACGGGAGGCAGCAGUGGGGAAUAUUGGACAAUGGGCGAAAGCCUGAUCCAGCCAUGCCGCGUGUGUGAAGAAGGUCUUCGGAUUGUAAAGCACUUUAAGUUGGGAGGAAGGGCAGUAAGUUAAUACCUUGCUGUUUUGACGGUACCAACAGAAUAAGCACCGGCUAACUUCGUG